GGUUAAGUUAUUAAGGGCGCACGGCGAAUGCCUUGGCACUAGGAGCCGAAGAAGGACGGCACUAACACCGAUAUGCUUCGGGGAGCUGUAAGUGAGCUUUGAUCCGGAGAUUUCCGAAUGGGGGAACCCACUACGUUUAAUCGCGUAGUAUCUUGACGUGAAUACAUAGCGUCUUGAAGGCAGACCCAGGGAACUGAAACAUCUAAGUACCUGGAGGAAGAGAAAGAAAAAUCGAUUCCCUGAGUAGCGGCGAGCGAAACGGGAAGAG
rnacentral:rRNA from 1 species